rnacentral:rRNA from 1 species
AACGAACGCUGGCGGCAGGCCUAACACAUGCAAGUCGAGCGCCCCGCAAGGGGAGCGGCGGACGGGUGAGUAACGCGUGGGAACGUACCCCUUUCUACGGAAUAGCCUCGGGAAACUGGGAGUAAUACCGUAUAAGCCCUACGGGGGAAAGAUUUAUCGGGAAGGGAUCGGCCCGCGUUGGAUUAGGUAGUUGGUGGGGUAAUGGCCUACCAAGCCGACGAUCCAUAGCUGGUUUGAGAGGAUGAUCAGCCACACUGGGACUGAGACACGGCCCAGACUCCUACGGGAGGCAGCAGUGGGGAAUCUUAGACAAUGGGCGCAAGCCUGAUCUAGCCAUGCCGCGUGAGCGAUGAAGGCCUUAGGGUUGUAAAGCUCUUUCAGUGGGGAAGAUAAUGACUGUACCCACAGAAGAAGCCCCGGCUAACUCCGUGCCAGCAGCCGCGGUAAU